UAGUGUUGCUUUGAUGGCUUGGGGAAUCACAGGGACACAGAAAUGACCUGCUGUUCCAGCCCCAUGCUUCUUGAUGCAGUGCAGAGACUUGCUUCCAGAACAGCUUCAGGUCCCUACUCGAUCGCACAGUGGGACGGGGUAGCUAUGGAUUAAGAAUUGUGGUUUUAUUUUUUAUAUAUCUCACAAUUUAUUUUAUUUAUAUUUAAGCACAGCA